UAGGGAAUCUUCGGCAAUGGACGGAAGUCUGACCGAGCAACGCCGCGUGAGUGAAGAAGGUUUUCGGAUCGUAAAGCUCUGUUGUAAGAGAAGAACGAGUGUGAGAGUGGAAAGUUCACACUGUGACGGUAUCUUACCAGAAAGGGACGGCUAACUACGUGCCAGCAGCCGCGGUAAUACGUAGGUCCCGAGCGUUGUCCGGAUUUAUUGGGCGUAAAGCGAGCGCAGGCGGUUAGAUAAGUCUGAAGUUAAAGGCUGUGGCUUAACCAUAGUAGGCUUUGGAAACUGUUUAACUUGAGUGCAAGAGGGGAGAGUGGAAUUCCAUGUGUAGCGGUGAAAUGCGUAGAUAUAUGGAGGAACACCGGUGGCGAAAGCGGCUCUCUGGCUUGUAACUGACGCUGAGGCUCGAAAGCGUGGGGAGCAAACAGGAUUAGAUACCCUGGUAGUCCACGCUGUAAACGAUGAGUGCUAGGUGUUAGACCCUUCCCGGGGUUUAGUGCCGUAGCUAACGCAUUAAGCACUCCGCCUGGGGAGUACGACCGCAAGGUUG
rnacentral:rRNA from 1 species